UUGCACAAUGGGCGCAAGCCUGAUGCAGCCAUGCCGCGUGUAUGAAGAAGGCCUUCGGGUUGUAAAGUACUUUCAGCAGUGAGGAAGGUGGAUAUGUUAAUAGCAUAUUCAUUUGACGUUAGCUGCAGAAGAAGCACCGGCUAACUCCGUGCCAGCAGCCGCGGUAAUACGGAGGGUGCGAGCGUUAAUCGGAAUUACUGGGCGUAAAGCGCAUGCAGGUGGUUUGUUUAAGUCAGAUGUGAAAGCCCGGGGCUCAACCCUCGGAAUUGCAUUUGAAACUGGCAAACUAGAGUACUGUAGAGGGGGUAGAAUUUCAGGUGUAGCGGUGAAAUGCGUAGAGAUCUGAAGGAAUACCGGUGGCGAAGGCGGCCCCCUGGACAGAUACUGACACUCAGAUGCGAAAGCGUGGGGAGCAAACAGGAUUAGAUACCCUGGUAG
rnacentral:rRNA from 1 species